rnacentral:rRNA from 1 species
AGCAGCCGCGGUAAUUCCAGCUCCAAUAGCGUAUAUUAAAGUUGUUGCAGUUAAAAAGCUCGUAGUUGAAUUUCGGGAUCAAUAUAUCGGUCGUGCCAUCGGUACGUACUGGUAUCAUUGGUUUCUCCUUUCUGACGAACCAUGAUGUCAUUAAUUUGGUGUUAUGGGAAGUUAGGACUGUUACUUUGAAAAAUUAGAGUGUUUAAAGCAGGCUUUAGCUUGAAUACAUUAGCAUGGAAUAAUGAAAUAGGACGUUCGAACCUAUUUUGUUGGUUUCUAGGAUCAACGUAAUGAUUAAUAGGGAUAGUUGGGGGCAUUAGUAUUCAAUUGUCAGGGGUGAAAUUCUUGGAUUUAUUGAAGACUAACUACUGCGAAAGCAUUUGCCAAGGAUGUUUUCAUUAAUCAAGAACGAAAGUUAGGGGAUCGAAGACGAUCAGAUACCGUCGUAGUCUUAACCAUAAACUAUGCCGACUAGGGAUCGGAUGAUGUUAAUUUUUAAUGACUCAUUCGGCGCCUUACG